UCAUUACCGAGUGAGGGCCCUCUGGGUCCAACCUCCCACCCGUGUUUAUUUUACCUUGUUGCUUCGGCGGGCCCGCCUUAACUGGCCGCCGGGGGGCUUACGCCCCCGGGCCCGCGCCCGCCGAAGACACCCUCGAACUCUGUCUGAAGAUUGAAGUCUGAGUGAAAAUAUAAAUUAUUUAAAACUUUCAACAACGGAUCUCUUGGUUCCGGCAUCGAUGAAGAACGCAGCGAAAUGCGAUACGUAAUGUGAAUUGCAAAUUCAGUGAAUCAUCGAGUCUUUGAACGCACAUUGCGCCCCCUGGUAUUCCGGGGGGCAUGCCUGUCCGAGCGUCAUUGCUGCCCUCAAGCCCGGCUUGUGUGUUGGGCCCCGUCCCCCGAUCUCCGGGGGACGGGCCCGAAAGGCAGCGGCGGCACCGCGUCCGGUCCUCGAGCGUAUGGGGCUUUGUCACCCGCUCUGUAGGCCCGGCCGGCGCUUGCCGAUCAACCCAAAUUUUUAUCCAGGUUGACCUCGGAUCAGGUAGGGAUACCCGCUGAACUUAAGCAUAUCAAUAAGCGGAGGAA
rnacentral:rRNA from 1 species